rnacentral:rRNA from 1 species
GGGUGUGAUCAUACCAGUGUUAAUGCAUUGGAUCACAUCAGAACUCUGCAAUUAAGCGCGCUUGGGCUAGAGUAGUACUAGGAUGGGUGACCUCCAGGGAAAUCCUAGUGUUGCACCCU